GAGUUUGAUCGUGGCUCAGAUUGAACGCUGGCGGCAUGCCUUACACAUGCAAGUCGAACGGCAGCAUGAUCUAGCUUGCUAGAUUGAUGGCGAGUGGCGAACGGGUGAGUAAUACAUCGGAACGUGCCCUGUAGUGGGGGAUAACUAGUCGAAAGAUUAGCUAAUACCGCAUACGACCUGAGGGUGAAAGUGGGGGGACCACAAGGCCUCAUGCUAUAGGAGCGGCCGAUGUCUGAUUAGCUAGUUGGUGGGGUAAAGGCCCACCAAGGCGACGAUCAGUAGCUGGUCUGAAAGGACGAUCAGCCACACUGGGACUGAGACACGGCCCAGACUCCUACGGGAGGCAGCAGUGGGGAAUUUUGGACAAUGGGCGAAAGCCUGAUCCAGCAAUGCCGCGUGUGUG
rnacentral:rRNA from 1 species